UAGGCGAACGGGUGAGUAACACGUGAGCAACCUGCCCUAUACAACGGGAUACCUACGGGAAACUGUAGUUAAUACGGUAUAAGACCACACAGUCGCAUGGCUGAGGGGUAAAAGGAGAAAUCCGGUAUAGGAUGGGCUCGCGGCGCAUUAGCUAGUUGGUGAGGUAACGGCUCACCAAGGCGACGAUGCGUAGCCGACCUGAGAGGGUGGACGGCCACACUGGGACUGAGAUACGGCCCAGACUCCUACGGAAGGCAGCAG
rnacentral:rRNA from 1 species